ensembl:snoRNA SNORD116 Small nucleolar RNA SNORD116
GGAUCGAUGAUGACUCCCCAAAAUAACAUUCCUUGGAAGCUGAACAAAAUGAGUGAAAACUCUAUAACCGUCGUUCUCAUCGUGACUGAGGUCC